CGGAAUAGCCUCUGGAAACGGAGAGUAAUACCGUAUACGCCCUUUUGGGGAAAGAUUUAUCGGUGAAGGAUUAGCCCGCGUCUGAUUAGAUAGUUGGUGGGGUAACGGCCUACCAAGUCGACGAUCAGUAGCUGGUUUGAGAGGAUGAUCAGCAACACUGGGACUGAGACACGGCCCAGACUCCUACGGGAGGCAGCAGUGGGGAAUCUUAGACAAUGGGCGCAAGUGAUCUAGCCAUGCCGCGUGAGUGACGAAGGCCUUAGGGUCGUAAAGCUCUUUCGCCAGGGAUGAUAAUGACAGUACCUGGUAAAGAAACCCCGGCUAACUCCGUGCCAGCAGCCGCGGUAAUACGGAGGGGGUUAGCGUUGUUCGGAAUUACUGGGCGUAAAGCGCGCGUAGGGGAUUGGAAAGUUGGGGGUGAAAUCCCGGGGCUCAACCCCGAACUGCCUCCAAAACUAUCAGUCUAGAGUUCGAGAGAGGUGAGUGGAAUUCCAAGUGUAGAGGUGAAAUUCGUAGAUAUUUGGAGGAACACCAGUGGCGAAGGGGCUCACUGGCUCGAUACUGACGCUGAGGUGCGAAAGUGUGGGGAGCAAACAGGAUUAGAUACCCUGGUAGUCCACACCGUAAACGAUGAAUGCCAGACGUCG
rnacentral:rRNA from 1 species